GACGUAGGGUGCAAGCGUUGUCCGGAUUUAUUGGGCGUAAAGAGCUCGUAGGCGGCUUGUUGCGUCGACUGUGAAAACCCGCGGCUUAACCGCGGGCUUGCAGUUGAUACGGGCAGGCUAGAGUUCGGUAGGGGAGACUGGAAUUCCUGGUGUAGCGGUGAAAUGCGCAGAUAUCAGGAGGAACACCGGUGGCGAAGGCGGGUCUCUGGGCCGAUACUGACGCUGAGGAGCGAAAGCAUGGGGAGCGAACAGG
rnacentral:rRNA from 1 species